UACAGAGGUCCCAAGCGUUGUUCGGAUUCACUGGGCGUAAAGGGUGCGUAGGCGGUCGGGUAAGUCUGAUGUGAAAUCUCACAGCUUAACUGUGAAACUGCAUUGGAUACUAUCCGGCUCGAGGAAUGGAGGGGAGACUGGAAUACUUGGUGUAGCAGUGAAAUGCGUAGAUAUGACUUAGAACACCAAUUGCGAAGGCAGCUUGCUAAACAAACAUUGACGCUGAGGCACGAAAGCGUGGGGAUCAAACAGG
rnacentral:rRNA from 1 species